UGUUUGCAAAAAGAACAGCGAUUUUCAACACAUACAUCACAAAAUACGACACUCGUCGCUGCAACAACGAUGGCGAUUGCAUAAUGAUGAUGAUGUUGGUGUAACUUCCGCUGGAUUGGCAUAUGUGUUAUUUAACAUUUAACCUCCACCACCCAAUUAUAAUGAACGGCCACGGAAAUUAAAGAUAUUACAAAAAAUAAGUACUCAAUAAGCACGAGCUAAAGCAAUGGCAAUGACGCCUGCCCGUCUACCCAAUCACCAUCCAUCAUCCAUCCAUCCAACCAGUUCGAACCAGUUCAGUUUCAACGGUUGAAACUUCAAACUUUCCGGACGCGCAACGGGUAGCAGUUGGAGUCUUCGCGGCUGCAUUCCACUGGUUGUUAUACGAAAAUCUUUCGAAGUUCUAAUCUCCCGCGCGUUUUGUCUUGCAAUUUUUGAGCAUAGCGAGAACGUACGCCGUGCUGUCCAGUGAUAAAAGCUGUUGAGCACAGCAGAGCUCCCAGAGUACUGUGGUGGACAACGUUUCUUUGUUCUCUGGCUUUCCAAGUUUAAGGGGUGCUUGGACUAUCUUGCAUCGGUGGAUAUGAAAAUAGUGGUAACCUACCCUACGAAACAGCUGUUUGCACAUAAGCUUAACAGUUCCCUGUGAGAUGCUGUGAAAGUCAGCAGGGAAGUGCGAUGUAGAAGAAACGACUGCCAGAAGCUUGCUAAGGAACCGCACAACCUGUGUGGGCAGCAGACAAAAUAUUCAUCAAACGGUACAAAACUAGUAUUUUUGUGCUUGGUCGUUUUGAGACAUCCUUGGUAUUGUAUGGAGAACAGCGUGACUAUGUCAUUCCGUCUUACUUCACCCAAACAGCUAUCUGGUAGUAGUGCAAGAUUUGAGUUCGUAAAAGGUUUAUUCACUGAAGUCACCUCAGCGCCAUACUAUAGGUCCCGCAAUGUUUAGUCCUUGCAUUUGUUUGCUGCAUUAUGCUUUUUAGGUGACUAUUAACACCAAAAAUAUGGAAAUUGCUCAGACAUUCUACAAAUCACAGAGCAACAAGUUUUAAACACCAGAUAUACGGUGAGUAUAAUAUGGGUAACAGCUUGACUGAAGUCUACAAUAGGGCCGAUGGCAGCAAAUCUGCCUGCUAGCGACAGUGGCGGUCUCCUGCGGAUGACGUCAUGUGAAUAAACUUG